CCAUUUUUAUGGUCUAUGGCAGGGGUAGGGAACCUAUGGUUCUAGAGCCAGAUGUGGCUCUUUUGAUGACUGCACCUGGCUCUCAGAUAAAUCUUAGCUGACAUCGCUUAACACGAUAAGUAAUUAAUAAUUCCGCUGGUAAUCACAGUGUUAAAGAUAACGUUCAAAUUAUUCUCAUGCAUUUUAAUCCAACCAUCCAUUUUCUAUCGCACCUGUUCAAAAUGUCGCAUUGAUGGUAAGAAGUAUUAUAUUAAUUAUUGGUUAACUUUGGCAUAACAAUGUUAUUAAAAAGAAUAAGACACUUAUUAUACUCUAAAAACGUUAGUCUUACUUAAAAAUGCACGCAUUUAGUUGUAUUCAGUGCUAAAAAAUAUUUUAUGGCUCUCACGGAAAUACAUUUUGAAAUAUUUGGCUUUAAUGGCUCUCUCAGCCAAAAAGGUUCCCGACCCCUGGUCUAUGGUAUGACUCGGGUUGGGUUUGAACUCACGACAUGCCGUUCUCAGGGCAGACACUCGAACCACAAGGCUACUGAGCAGCUUAAACGCUAUAGGUUAACAUCCCUUGGCUGACUCACGUCAACAUAAGCGGUUGUUGACACAACCCAAAAUAGCUUUGACUUUGCCUUAGUAACGGGGGUGUCAAACUCGCUUUCAUUGAGUUUGUACUGGUUAGUAGUAAACAAAUAUAAAUGAUAAGAAUUUGCCUAAAAAUUUUUGACAGACAAAAAAAAUCAAGUGAAGUAUAUUUAUAUAGCGCUUUUUUCUCAAGUGACUCAAAGCACUUUACCUAGUGAAACCCAAUAUCUAAGUUACUGGGAGCAGGUGGUUAAAGUGUCUUGUCCAAGGACACAACAGCAUUGACUAGAAUGGCGGAAGCGUGGAUCGAACCUGCAACCCUCAAGUUGCUGGCACGGCCGCUCUACCAACCGAGCCAUACCGCCACCAGCUCUGUUGCAAGAAUUUUCUUGCAAAAUUUACUGUGACUUUUGGAACAUAUUACUGUAAAUAGAAAAACAUAACAGUUAUUUUUACCAUAGAGUCUUCGGUUGUUGUUUUUACUGUGUGUUACUGUAAAUGGUAAAACUAUACUGCAAUUUUUUAAAGUAAAAUUCUGGUGCCUGAGCUGCCAGGUUUUUUUUUCACUUAAUGUCGUAUUUCCUUGAAUUGCCGCCGGGGCGCUAAUUAAUUUAAAACCUCUUCUCACUCUUGCGCUUACCAAAGGCAUGCGGUAAAAGUAAGCAUGCGCUAAUUAAUUUAAAACCUCUUCUCACUCCGGCACUUACCAAAGGUAUGCAGUAAAAAUUUUAGUGUGAUGUAACCUUGGACCUUAAAUCCUACUGAAAAGCUCUUAAUCUUCUUCCCUUUAUGCGAUUUCAAAUUACCGGCAUUGAAAUCAGCCUCCUCCAUUUUGAAAAUGAUGACAGUGGAAGUGUCACUCGUGACGUCACGAGUUUGACCAGGCGGUAAUACUAAGAGUGCGCGAAUCAUUUUGGUAAGCGAGUUUGACCCGGCAGUAAUUCAAGGCAGGCGCAUAUUAUAUGCCCUGCGGAAAUUCAAGGAAAUACGGUAAUCUACUGUGAUUUUAAAGUGUACAAUUUGAUGUAUGACUCGCUAUUGAGUACAUUGACAUUUCAUAAGUUUCAUGUUUAAAUUAUGCACUGCAUUUUCCGGACUAUAAGCCAUUACUUUUUUCCAACCCAUUGGACCCUGCAACUUACAAAGUGUGCGGAAAAUUUGAUGGAUUUUGCUUUGCAAACGGCCAUAAUGUUUUGUAUUCAACAAAUAUUUUCAUAAAACACCCACAGAGACACUCAAAAGGUGUGUUUUUGUUUGUGCUUCGUUCAAGUUUGCUCACUGCAGGUGCUGCGAGUGAAACGGCAACAGUAUUUCCUUCUGUUUAAUGCCUUGAACCAGAAGUACAAGUGCCGUUCCGUCUGCCAGUCAUCCAUAGCGAUUAUACUCGUAUGGUCUCUUAAUUUAUCACUCCAAGCAAUGUUUGCAAGUUUUACAAUGUAACUAAAAUAAUUAAUAUUUACCGGUACUAAACUCGGACAUGUUUGAUAGUAGUGUUUUCAUGCAUAUUUAUACAUGCUAUCAUAAUGUAAUCAAGUCAGCGUUGUUAGCAUCAGUUAAUAUGCUAACACUUUUACAAGUGUCCGUGUUAGUAUUAUUAUUAACUUACAAUAACAUUGUUUUUGCAUUGUUUAGGUUUCCCAAAUUCCUCAGCAAAUUCGCCAAAACGUCACCGUGGAGUUACUGAGUCUGUUUAGCUGAUUGGAAAACUAGUUUCCGCUGCUAUUGGGUCCAUGACGAUGACUUCUGUUCUGUUUGAUCAGCCGUUUUACUGCCGUGGAACAGAGUAUGUUUUGACACAAUUAAGGUAUGUAAAUAAACAUUUACAAAAUCUUUUUAUGUAAAUAACUCAUUUCAUAACGUGUAUAUAUGCGGCUUAUAGUCUGGUGCAGCUGAUAAAUGGAAACAUAUUUUUUAUUUAAAAUUUAGUGAAUGCGACUUUUAGACCGGUGCGAGCUAUUGUCGGGAAAAUACGGUCGGUUGGAAAGUAUAUGAAGUGAUUUAAGAGGUUUGAAGGUGUUUAUAUGUGUGUGUGAAAGCAGUAGGUAGGGUUUACACAAACUUUAAAUGCAUAUAAUCAGAGGUGGGUAGUAACGCGCUACAUUUACUCCGUUACAUUUACUUGAGUAACUUUUGGGAUAAAUUGUACUUCUACGAGUAGUUUUAAUGCAACAUACUUUUACUUUUACUUGAGUAUAUUUAUAGAGAAGAAACGCUACUUUUACUCCGCUCCAUUUAACUACAUUCAGCUGGCUACUCGCUACUUUUUUUUUAAUCGAUCUGUUAGUGUUUGUUUUGGUUUACGACAGAGCUUCAAAGUAGGAUCUACGCAUGCCUGUGUUUCACCAAUCACAUGCAGUCACUGGUGACGUUAGACCAAUCAAACAGAGCCAGGUGGUCACAUGACCUGACUUAAACAAGUUGAAAAACUUAUUCGGGUGUUACCGUUAAGUGGUCAAUUGUACGGAAUAUGUACUGAACUGUGCAAUCUACUAAUAUAAGUUUCAGUCAAUCAAUCAAAAGUGUAAAGGAAAAAAUACACUUUUUAUUUCAACCGUACUUCCUGUCACAAGCCUAAAGACUGAUCGCACAGUUCCUAUCUUCACAAUAAAAGCGCCGCUUCAUCGCGCCUGCGCUAACAAAAUAAGAGUCUCCGAAAGCCAGAGCAAACAAGCUAGCAAGCUACGGAGUUUGCCGCCAAUGUAUUUCUUGUAAAGUUUAUAAAAACAAAUAUGGAAGCUGGACAAAUAAGAUGCCAAAAAGCAACGACAUUCAUGUGGUAUUAAACAGAAAAGAGGAACUUUUUUUCUCCUCCAUUUGAAAAAGUGGACGUUAUCAACACUACAAUGCAAGUCAUCAGAAUCAGGUAAUACACCAACUUAUAGUCUUAUCUUCAUGAAAGAUAGGAAUCUAUAUGUUAAACAUCAUGCAUGUAUAUUCAUUAAAACACAUUUAACAUGUCAACAAAAACGGCAUAAUAAAUAAAUAUAAAUUAUAUACUGUAUAUAUAUAUAUAUAUGAUAUGUGUGUGUAUAUAUGAUGUGUGUGUAUGUAUAUGUAUAUAUGAGGUAGAUCACUUGGUAAUUUAUUAAGUAAUUGAUUAACGUUGAAAAACUUAUUGGGGUGUUACCAUUUAGUGGUAAAUUGUAUGGAAUCUGUACUGUACUGUGCAAUCUACUAAUAAAAGUUUCAAUCAACCAAUCAAUCCAUCAAUCAGUCAAUGAAUACCUGUUGAGCCUAUGGUGCUGUUAAGUUAUUGUGGCUCAAUGUGCCUAAAUGUUUUAUUUAUUUUAAUGUACUAUUAUUUAAAAUAUAUUAUUGUUUUAGUUGCUUAAGAGAUAUUCAUGGCUCUGAAUUUGCUCAUUGCUAUUUUUAUGUUUUUGUGCAUUAUUUGUCCCGUAAUCAGGUUACUCAUCAGUUACUCAGUACUUGAGUAGUUUUUUCACAACAUACUUUUUACUUUUACUCAAGUAAAUAUUUGGGUGACUAAUCCUUACUUUUACUUGAGUAAUAAAUCUCUAAAGUAACAGUACUCUUACUUGAGUACAGAUUCUGGCUCCUCUACCCACCUCUGCAUGUAAUAUUCAUAAAACUCAUGAAAUGGUGUGCCUGCUUUGCGAAAAUUCCGUUAUCGGGAGGGAUACGCUCCAGAGAUCCUUAAAAAACAUACAGGUUUCUAAAUACAGAACAUGCCAACCCUUAACUCACCCACAUAAAUGUAAAAAAAACCCCAUAUAUUUCUUACUCUGUGUUGUCAUUGAUGUCCAUCUGUAUGUAGAACAUCUCAACAAUGGAUGCGUAGUAUAUGCUGUCCUCAUUCAGGAUAUCUCCAAUCAUUUGCAAGGCGCCACGACUUAGAUUGCCCUCCUUUACCAAGUAAUGCUAUUGAUAAGACAGUAUGUUCAUCAAAAAAUAAUUAGUAUAUUUAAACUUUAUUCUUUGCGUAGUUGAACUAAAACUUUGUUGACAUGGAUAUUUCUUACUAUGACGGAGUAGGAAUCAUAUUUGUCCAAUACAGCAGUGCAGCUGCUCGUCUGAAGGUCAUCCUUCACCUGUGCAAAGAUUGCAGUACAGUUAAAAACCAGAACUAACACAUUCAUAAAACAUUUUUUGAAACCAAAGAAGAAGAUUGAAUAGAAUUUGUGUGUGAAAUGAGAGGUGCUGAAGCUGAACAAAUUCUGAAAAGAUUUACAAAAAAUUUUGAUCUACAAGAAAAAUAUUUUUGCUGUUGAUCUGAUUGGUGUUGGGAUGAUUGGCAUCAGUUGAUAUUGUGGAGGCAGUAAAACUUCCCAAGACCUAAUGGAGUUAGUGCUACAUGGAAUUGGGAAUUGGGAAAAUUUGUGUCUGGCAGGUAGUUUCAUGUUGAAAUGGUUUGAAUAAGUUAAGACAUUUGAAGAAAAAAAAUCUAUAAUUUCUGUGGGAAUUUUUGUGCCGAAUUUUUGUGCCGGAAUAUGUGGAAUUCCAGGAAAAACCUGGAAUUUGUUCAAUUCCAAAAAUACAUAGCCUGAAUGUUGUCAGUGAGCUGAAUAUCUUGGGUUUGGAAAGGUGUGACUCAAUUGGAAAAUGUGAAAACAGCAUAGAUUUUUGAAAGCCAAAUACAGUCAAACCUGUCUAUUGCGAGCACUCAAAGGCAACAGCAAAAGUGACCACAAUAGACAAGUGGUCACUAUAUGCAGGUUAGGAGCCAUUUUGAGCCAGGUUUUGUGAUAGUUGGACCAAUGCCGUACUCAAACGUUGACGCUGGAUACGACGGGCGGCGUUGGAUUUAUAAACACAAGAUAUUGGAUGUUAGUAAUGGAAAUUAUUUUUUGUGAUGGGGAAAGAAGAGAGCUGCUUGUUGUUGUUAUUAACAAAUCAUUACAUUAUAAUGUCACUCGCAGCAAAAAAGUAAACAAAUAACUGGGACUUCUUCUAUCUUUGGUAUUAGUGGCCGAUAUACGGAGUACCAUACAAGAAUUAUUAAGAGAUGCAACAUAAGUGGUCGCUGGUUGCAUUUAGGGUCAGGGUAAACUUCAUUGUACUUUUAGGAAAAUGUGUCUUGAGCAUUGUGUUACUUUAUUGCUUCCUGGAGCAGAAAAGAUACAAUCACCUGGACUUAAAAAAAGAUCCACGGAGACAUUGGACAAUUUCUAAUGUGAGUUAAGCACGUGUGUUCAUUGCACAUUGCUCUAUUGCAUUAUAUAUAUUUGUAUGUAUUUUUCAACAGAUUGAUAGAAACGGAAACAAAUGAUGAUUUAAGAUGGUUCUGUGUGGAGUUUGCAUGUUCGCCCCAUGACUGCGUGGGAUCCCUCCGGGUACUCCGGCUUCCUCCACCUCCAAAGACAUGCAUCUGGGCGGGGCAGGGGGUUGUUAGGUUUGGUUGAUAUCAGCACUUCAGUCAUCAACAAUUGUAUCAUCAGAGAAAUGGACAUUGAAACAGUGUAGGUCUAACUUUGUUGGAUACGUACAACAAGUAGUGGACAUAGUGAGCUCAGAAAGCAUAAGAACAAGUAUAUACAUUUAAUUUUUUACAAUUGAUUAUUUACAAUCCGGGGAGGUGGGAUGUGGUGGGGGGAGGGUGUUAGGCUAGGGUUGAAGUUGCCUGGAGGUGUUCUUUUACUGCGGUUUUGAAGGAGGAUAGAGAUGCACUUUCUUUUACACCUGUUGGGAGUGCAUUCCAUAUUGAUGUGGCAUGGAAGGAGAAUGAGUUAAGACCUUUGUUAGAUCGGAAUCUGGGUGUACCGUGGUUUGUGGAGCUCCCCCUGGUGUUGUGGUUAUGGCGGUCAUUUACAUUAUGGAAGUAGUUUGACAUGCACUUCGGUAUCAGGGAGCUGUAGCAAAUUUUAUGGACUAGGCUCAGUGCAAGUUGUUUUACUCUGUCCUCCAACCUGAGCCAGUCCACUUUGGAGAAGUGGGUAGGAGUGAGGUGUGAUCUGGGGUGGAGGUCUAGAAGCAACCUGACUAGCUUGUCCUGGGAUGUUUGGAGUCUAGAUUUGAGGGUUUUUGGAGGUGCUGGAGUACCAGGAGGUGCAAGCGUAAUCGAAAAAGGUUUGAAUGAGAGUUCCUGCUAGAAUCUUAAUGGUGAUUUGUUGACCAGAGAGGGGAUUCUGUAGAGAAAUCUUGUUCGUUAGUUGGCCUUUUUGAUUACCUUGGUUGCCAUUUUAUCACAGGAAAGAUUAGGGUCUAGAAUGGUAUCUAGGUAGGUGACCUCAUCUUUCCCGGUGAUAACAAUGUAACCAACUUUAAUAGUGAAGUCACUGACUUUCUUGAGGUUGAUGUGGGACCCAAAUAGGAUGGAUUACGUUUUACCCAAAAGUAUGGAUAACUUGUUGUCAGCGAGCCAUGUGCAAAUUCUACAGAGUUCGGCACUGAGAAUUUUUUCCACCUGUGACUUGUCCUUGCCGGAUACCAGCAGGGCCAAGUCAUCCGCAAACAGGAAUAAUUCACAGUCGCAUGCUAAUGACAUGUCGUUCACGUAUAUUAGGAACAGUAAAGGUCCUAGUAUAUUGCCUUGGGGGACUCCACAGCUUACUGAGAGGGGGAGGGGGACACACGGUGCCGUUCAUCUCUACCACCUGUUUCCUCCCCUCCAGGUACGAUUGCAUCCAGCUCGAUGAGGUUUUAUUGAAUCUGAUUGCUCUGAGCUUAUCCAACAGUAUAGCGUGGUUAACAGUUUCAAAGGCCUUCUGAAUGUCCAACAUGACCAUGCCGCAGUAUUUGCCCGCAUCCACCUCAUGGUUGAUGUGGUCGGUCAGAUAGAGAAGGCAUGUGUCAGCGGAGUAGUUAGUUCUGAAGCCGGAUUGAAAUCUGUACAUGAGUUUUUUAGUAGUAAAGUAACUAUCGACCUGUUCAUAAACAGUUUUUUCCAUUACUUUCGAAAUGGAACUGAGAAUAGAAACCGGUCGGUAGUUGCCAGGUUCUAAAUUGUUUAUUAUGUGUGUGAUGAUUGGGUCGAUGGUGGUGGCAGAGUCCCUGAGGCCUGUGGCCUUGUUUAAAUGGUAAAUAAAAACAGAAUACAAUGAUUUUCGAAUUCUUUUCAACUUAUAUUCAAUUGAAUAGAUUGCAAAGACAAGAUAUUUAAUGUUCAAACUCAGAAACAUUAUUUUUUUUGCAAAUAAUCAUUAAUUUAGAAUUUAAUGGCAGCAACAGUUUGCAAAAAAGUUGGCAGAAGGGCAUUUUUACCACUGUGAUACAUGACCUUUCCUUUUAACAACACUCAGGAGACCAAUGUGGAAUUUUUUCCCAUUCUUUCUUUAUGUACAGCUUAAGUUGUCAUAUUUUACGCUUCAUAAUGCGCCACACAUUUUCAAUGGGAGACAUGUCUGGACUACAGGCAGGCCAGUCUAGUACCCACACUCUUUUACUAGGAAGCCACGCUGUUGUAACACAUGCAGAAUGUGGCUUGGCUUUUUCUUAAGCAGGUACAUCCUUGAAAAAGAUGGCAGCAUAUGUUGCUUCAAAACCUGUAUGUACCUUUCAGCAUCAAUGGUGCCUUCACAGAUGUGUAAGUUACCCAUGCCUUAGGCACUAAUACACCCCCAUACCAUCACAGAUGCUGGCUUUUAAACUUUGCGCCUAUAACAGUGCGGAUGGUUCUUUUCCUCUUUGGUCCAGAGGACACGACGUCCACAGUUUCCAAAAACAAUUUAAAAUGUGGACUCGUCAGACCACAGAACACUUUUCCACUUUUCAUCCGUCCAUCUUAGAUGAGCUUGGGCCCAGCAUAGCCGGUGGCGUUUCUGGGUGUUGCUGAUAAAUGGCUUUUGCUUUGCAUAGUAGAGUUUUAACUUGCACUCACAGAUGCAGUGACAAACUGUAAUUACUGACAGUUGUUUUCUGAAGUAUUCCUGAGCUCAUGUGGUGAUAUCCUUUACACACUGAUGUCGCUUUUUAUUGCAGUACCGCCUGAGGGAUCAUAGGGGACAGGAAUUCAAUGUCAGUUUUCGGCCUUGCAGCUUAUGGGCAGUGAUUUUCAAGAUUCUCUAAACCUUUUGAUGAUAUUAUGAACCAUAGAUGGUGAAAUCCCUAAAUGCCUUGCAUUAGCUUGUUGAGAAAUGUUGUUCUUAAACUGUUGGACGAUUUGCUCAUGCAUUUGUUCACAACAUGGUGACCCUCACCCCAUCCUUGUUUGUGAAUGACUGAGAAUUUCAUAGAAGCUGCUUUUAUACCCACUCUUGGCACCCGCCUGUUCCCAAUUAGCCUGUUCACCUGUGGGAUGUUCCAAAUAAGAGCAUUUCUCAAUCUCAGUCUUUUUUGCCACUCAUGCCAGCUUUUUUAAAACAGGUUGCAGGCAUCAAAUUCUAAAUGAGCUAAUAUUUGCAAAAAAUAACCAAGUUUACCAGUUCGAACGUUAGGUAUCUUGUCUUUGCAGUUUAUUCAAUUGAAUAUAGGUUAAAAAGGAGUUUCAAAUCAUUGUAUUCUGUUUUUUUUACGAUUUACACAACAUGCCAACUUCACUGGGUUUGGGUUUUGUGGAAAAGCAGUGCACUAUACAAGUAUGAUGAAUUUACCAUUUAACCAAUAAAUGCCACAAUAAACGAGAAAGAGGAGUAUUUCCGAUGAUUAAUACUUGUGAUCAGAAACAUGCUGCAAAAUUGUCAGAAUCAAGUCGUAAAAAUAUACAGGCCAUUACACAAAAUAAUGAACUAUCCGUUACUAGAAAACAGUAACAGCGUCAGUAACAUAGCCCUAUUCCAAAUAUUGACACUAAUGUGCGUGUUAGUGCUCUUUAGCUUUAACACUGAUAAGUUCCAGGUUUGAAGGGUUAUACACCCUGGACAAGUUGCCACCUCAUCGCAGGGCCAACACAGAUAGACAGACAACAUUCACACACAAGGGCCAAAUAUGUUUGGUCAGUUGAACAGUCUGUGUAGGAGAAGCUGUAGAGGAUAAUGAUGGACAGGCACUGAAUGUGACAAGUACAAACCUUGUCCAGAGUUUCACUGAAGAGUUGGGCUGCAGACUUCCCCCUUUCUCUUUCAUUCAACGUGUAGUUCAGCACGCUCAAGUUGUCUUUAACCAGAUAGGUUUUCUGCAGUAUUCCGUUCACCAGAUAGUAUGUGUUCAAGUCUUCUUGGAUAAAGGGGUUCAAGGGAAUUUGUAAUUUGGAGGCAAAGGACAGCAGAAUCCUGUGAACAUACAGCAAACUGGGAUGUAUAUUCAUGUAUGUAAAUUGUUUUAUUCGAUGCAUGCAGCGCACACAGGUAAAUAUGGAUAUUCCUUUAAUCAUCUUUUUUUGUUCUCUUCCAACACCCUAAAGGGUUUUGCAACAAAAAACGAUAUGUCUAAUGCUCUACUAGUACUAGGCAGAUUGAUCAAUUCAUUAAUAGUAUCAAUGCCAAGGGUAUUAUCAGUACAUUAUAGGAUUGACACGAGUGGAAUCAAUAUUUUAAAAAUUAUCUUAAAUGUUUAUUUUGACUAGUAUCUGUGUUUUGUAUGUGUUGUACAUAUUGUUGCAAUACACAUAUUGUUAAAAUGUGAACAAAUACGUUUAGUUUAAACAGAUAUUUGUUAUGAGUCAUACUCCUGCUGCCUGUCAUCCUGCUGUGUACUCUGCUGAGAGCACCGCGGGCCAGGGCCACGGGCGUUUCCUCUCCGUUGCGGGCGCGUUUCCAUGCGGCUGCAGAGGGUCUGCAAUCAGUGCACCUGACCCUUGAUGAGUGACUAGCCUUCAUAAGCCAGCGCAGCCUGAGAUCCAGUGCCAGAACGUAGUUUCUCGUACGCAGCACACUUCCCGUCGUCGAGCUGUGUGUCUCUGCAAUACCCUUUUGGAUCCCCUCUUGCCUUCCUGGACUUCGACCUCACGCCUGCCCACCGACCACGAGGCCUCGCUCCUGUCCUCGACCAUCCGCCUGCCCUCUGACGUCCGAGCCUCUUUUUCCCCUUUUGGACUUCCGCAUCGAUCUUAACCCGUACACUCAACAGCCUCAGGUAACCACGCUCAGAUAAUACUUACACAUAGUCACAUUACAUCUCUUUGGGCUAAUCACACACCGUACUCACAUACUGAGCUGUCAAUAAACACGCUGACAACUAA